GGGAGGACCAGGUCUUCCCGGCCGGGCAGGAUUCCCAGGGCCUAUGGGACCAAAGGGAGAUACAGGAGAGCCUGGACAGCCAGGAUACACAGCUAAGGGGGAGAAAGGAGAACCUGGUAUUAUCAUGGGGCCUGAUGGAAGACCCCUGUACCUGGGAGGGCUGGGGUCUCAACCGGGAGAGAAGGGACUACCGGGACCUGAGGGACCUCCUGUAAGUACUCUCCUUUAACAGUGACAUGCUUUGUUUCUGAAUAGCCAUCGAUAACCAUGGAUGUAC